AUUGAACGCUGGCGGCAGGCCUAACACAUGCAAGUCGAGCGGAUGAAGGGAGCUUGCUCCUGGAUUCAGCGGCGGACGGGUGAGUAAUGCCUAGGAAUCUGCCUGGUAGUGGGGGAUAACGUCCGGAAACGGGCGCUAAUACCGCAUACGGCCUGAGGGAGAAAGUGGGGGAUCUUCGGACCUCACGCUAUCAGAUGAGCCUAGGUCGGAUUAGCUAGUUGGUGGGGUAAAGGCCUACCAAGGCGACGAUCCGUAACUGGUCUGAGAGGAUGAUCAGUCACACUGGAACUGAGACACGGUCCAGACUCCUACGGGAGGCAGCAGUGGGGAAUAUUGGACAAUGGGCGAAAGCCUGAUCCAGCCAUGCCGCGUGUGUGAAGAAGGUCUUCGGAUUGUAAAGCACUUUAAGUUGGGAGGAAGGGCAGUAAGUUAAUACCUUGCUGUUUUGACGUUACCAACAGAAUAGGCACCGGCUAACUUCGUG
rnacentral:rRNA from 1 species